UUAGUCUGUGUUCAAGAGCUGUCUGAGCUCCUGAUCAGAAUUUCUGACUCCUAAGUGGAUAGCCUUAAUUUCUCUCCUAAUUAAUGUUUUUAUUGGGAGAGAUAUACUUACAUUAUCGGGUCCAAUUCUUCACCCCUCUGCUUCACUGUGGGCUGAAUAUAUCCCCCCAUCCCUUGAUUUGGGGCUUGGCCAUUUGACUUCCUUUGGCCAGUAGGGUGGAAGUGACACUGUGCCUUAGCUGAGUCUCCAGCAUUGCCGUGAAAGGAGCUUACCCUGCCUCCUAAGUCUGGGUCUGCAAAAAACACACGUGGAGCAAAGCUGCCCCAGCCAACGUGCAGACCUAAAGCCAGAAGCAGAGCAGCCCCAUGACUGCAGAUUCAUUAGAGCCACUCGCCCUGCUGACCCCCCAGAGCUGUGAGAUUAAAGGAUUGUUAUCUUCAGCCACUGAAUAUUGGGGUAGUUUGUUACACACCAUUGUUGUAGCAACAGCUAACCAAUACAGUCUUACAUAGAGAUGAAGGUAUAAAACAUAGAUAUACGAAUUAAGAUUAGUUAUGCAAGGAAAACCCACAUCACCACCACCAAGGGAAGGAAGUAAAAUAUCACUGAACACCCCAGAAACCUGCAUGUGCCCUUCCUGAUCACCACCUCCUCCCUCAGCCCUAGAGGCCAUCCAGUGGGCAUCGAAGCAAAGAGCUAAAUCCGUUGUCUGGCAACUGCCACCAGCAGGGCAGAUGCAAUCCUGACUGGGGUGGUUAGGAACCUGAGGGCCAUCGGCUGGUAAAGUGGCUGAACCAGAACUGGAGCCCACAGGGUACGUGGACCCUUCAAAAGAUUAAGGAAGUGGCUGCCUACGCUGUGCCACAGGGAGCAAAGCUGGAGGCGCCCAGGACUGGAACCUCCCUCACAAGGAAGCUGGACCACACCAGCUGAUUAGCUUCUUUUAUCUCUCCUACAGCAUCGGUGGUCCAUUACAACCACCUAUGCCCCGGACGUGACCCAAGGCGCUGCUUCUAUUCAGUGUUGUACCUGCUGGGACAGGUGGAGGCCUCUUUCCUUUCAAGAACAUUUUCUUCAGUGCCCUCAGUGGCUAUGUUCAAUCUUCAUUGCCUGAGGUUGAGAAAAUCUACCCCUGAAGGAAUCCAACCUGAGCGUAACUCUCUAGAAGGGGAUAUCAGUUGCCGAUGCCAGCUCCGCGAUUCGAGGUGGUGCAGUUGGUAAGAAUCCGCCUGCCAAUGCAGGGGACGUGGGUUCGAUCCCUGCCCCAGGAAGAUACCACAUGCCGCAGAGCAACUAAGCCAGUGUGCCACAACUAUUGAGCCUGUGCUCUAGAGCCCAUGAGCCACAACUACUGAGCCCAUGUGCCGCAACUACUGAAGCCCACAUGCCUAGAGCUCAUGCUCCGCAACAAGAGAGGCCACCACAAUGAGAAGUCUGCGCACCACAAGGAAGAGUAGCCCCCUGCUCGCCGCAACUAGAGAAAGCCUGUAUGCAUCAACGAAGACCCAACACAGCCAAUAAAAUAAAUAAAUAAAUAAAUUUAUAAAAAAAAAUAAAAAAAUAAAAAAAAAUUCAUUUCUUUGUUGAUAGGCAUUUGGGUUCCUUCUAG